UAAUCAAUUGUUUGUAGGCUAAGUAAUAUGUAUCGAUUUCAGAGAAUUUGUGGUGGGUGCGAACAAAUAAUACGUGACAUAUGAAAUCUACCUACGUGAAUAACAAUUCGGGUCAAACCGUUAACUUUGUAGAGUGCAGACUUUUGUCUGUUAAAUAGGGUGGCAACGCGUAAACCACGUCCCUUGU
rnacentral:ncRNA from 1 species